GUGUCGGGCAUCAAUGAAAAGCUCUUCUUCAGCCUGAAAAACGGGACAGCAGCGUACGCCCACCUGCCCCCCGAGGCUGUCUUUGCCAACACACUGGGCCUCCUGAUCUUGCUUUUCGGGUUUCUGGUGCUGUGGGCCCUGGCCAGGCCAGACUGGAAGCGCCCGGAGGCGGACGCGGCGGACACUCGCCAGCCCCUGCUCGG